rnacentral:rRNA from 1 species
UACGUAGGGAGCAAGCGUUAUCCGGAAUUAUUGGGUGUAAAGGGUGCGUAGACGGGAGUCUAAGUUAGUUGUGAAAUCCCUCGGCUCAACUGAGGAACUGCAACUAAAACUGGACAUCUUGAGUGCAGGAGAGGAAAGUGGAAUUCCUAGUGUAGCGGUGAAAUGCGUAGAUAUUAGGAGGAACACCAGUGGCGAAGGCGACUUUCUGGACUGUAACUGACGUUGAGGCACGAAAGUGUGGGGAGCAAACAGG